CUGGGUCUAUAGCCGACCCAUUAAAAAAUCAGCACCUCAGUCUCCGUACUAACUUUUCAGAAAGUAUGGCACGUGUUUGCCUGAGAGUGACUAACUAUUCAGAUUUAUUGAGUACAAACCUUAUAAAAUUGUUCUCCGACACUAAGAGUAAGGAUUUUCGAGUGAUAUGCCACGGGCAGAUGUUCCUGAUGCACAAAUUCUUGCUCCGGAUCUUUUCUGAUGACCCUUUGGUGUGCCAAAAAGAGGAUGUGGAAAUGCGGAUUGAUGAUAUCCAGCCUAGAAUUGUGCAGCAAUUCCUGUCAAUUCUUUACUUCGGCGAGACGCAAGUUGAGCACUCUGACUUGAAGUCGAUGCGAUUGUGUGCACAACUCAUGGGAAUGUCAAAUCUACUUCGAGAGCUGAAACUCUACAUUAUUGAUGAUAAGGUCGUCAAAAAAAUGGUUGCAAAUCGUAUGGAUGGCCAAUCCAAACAAAAAUCGAAGGAAUCUCUUGCCCAGAUGUUGGUUCCCAAAGAAAGCUGCUUUUCCACCGUCUGGCUUCCAGACUCUCAUGAUGAACCUGAUCUGAAAACUCAAAAGAUCCCGAAGUUGAAUAGUAUUCACCCAUACUGUUUCACAACAUGUGAACCCAGGGAUUCUAAUAUACGCUCAAAUCCUUUUGAAAGGCCUCUUACAAGUAUGAAAAAAUCUGUUCUGUGGGAUGCAGAUAACUCUAUGAAUCCAUUUGGGAACAUUUCAACUGCUUGCUAUUUAUGUGGCGAGGACUUCCAUUGUAGAGAAGAAUUGAUCCGUCAUUCCCGGUUCUAUCACCUUGGUUGAAAUAUGUUUUAACCGGUUUACCGUUGUUCUUGUAAUUCUAUUGAAUGUAGGAUUAAAUGAAGACGAAGUAAAUGGAUAAUCUUUUUU